rnacentral:rRNA from 1 species
GCCAGACUCCUACGGGAGGCAGCAGUGGGGAAUAUUGCACAAUGGGGGGAACCCUGAUGCAGCGACGCCGCGUGGGUGAAGAAGCGCCUCGGCGCGUAAAGCCCUGUCAGCAGGGAAGAAAAUGACGGUACCUGAAGAAGAAGCCCCGGCUAACUACGUGCCAGCAGCCGCGGUAAUACGUAGGGGGGCAAGCGUUAUCCGGAUUUACUGGGUGUAAAGGGGGCGCAGACGGCGAUGCAAGCCAGGAGUGAAAGCCCGGGGCCCAACCCCGGGACUGCUCUUGGAACUGCGUGGCUGGAGUGCAGGAGGGGCAGGCGGAAUUCCUGGUGUAGCGGUGAAAUGCGUAGAUAUCAGGAGGAACACCGGUGGCGAAGGCGGCCUGCUGGACUGCAACUGACGUUGAGGCCCGAAAGCGUGGGGAGCAAACAGGAUUAGAUACCCUAGUA